rnacentral:rRNA from 1 species
UGACAGCUGGCGAAGUUGGUUUCUUCGGACACUCUUCAAGGUGCUGCAUGGUUGUCGUCAGCUCGUGCCGUGAGGUGUCGGGUUAAGUCCCAUAACGAGCGCAACCCUUACUGUUAGUUGCCAGCGGGUCAAGCUGGGAACUCUAACGGGACUGCCACCGUAAGGUGAGAGGAAGGUGGGGAUGACGUCAAAUCAGCACGGCCCUUAUGUCCAGGGCUACACACGUGUUACAAUGGUCGGUACAAAGGGCAGCUAUACCGCGAGGUGAUGCUAAUCUCUAAAGCCGGUCUCAGUUCGGAUCGAAGUCUGCAACCCGACUUCGUGAAGUUGGAUUCGCUAGUAAUCGCGCAUCAGCCAUGGCGCGGUGAAUACGUUCCCGGGCCUU